GAUGAACGCUAGCGGCAGGCCUAACACAUGCAGGUCGAGGGGUAGAGGCUUUCGGGCCUUGAGACCGGCGCACGGGUGCGUAACGCGUAUGCAAUCUGCCUUACACUAAGGGAUAGCCCAGAGAAAUUUGGAUUAAUACCUCAUAGUAUAACAUGACCGCAUGGUCGAGUUAUUAAAGUCACAACGGUAAAAGAUGAGCA
rnacentral:rRNA from 1 species